UACGUAGGGUCCGAGCGUUGUUCGGAAUUAUUGGGCGUAAAGGGCUCGUAGGCGGUCUGUUGCGUCGGGUGUGAAAACUUACAGCUUAACUGUGAGCGUGCUUCCGAUACGGGCAGACUUGAGGUAUUCAGGGGAGAACGGAAUUCCUGGUGUAGCGGUGAAAUGCGCAGAUAUCAGGAGGAACACCGGUGGCGAAGGCGGUUCUCUGGGAAUAUCCUGACGCUGAGGAGCGAAAGUGUGGGGAGCGAACAGG
rnacentral:rRNA from 1 species